CAGAGAUGCUUUGGUGCCUUCGGGAACUCUGAGACAGGUGCUGCAUGGCUGUCGUCAGCUCGUGUUGUGAAAUGUUGGGUUAAGUCCCGCAACGAGCGCAACCCUUAUCCUUUGUUGCCAGCGGCUCGGCCGGGAACUCAAAGAGACUGCCGGUGAUAAACCGGAGGAAGGUGGGGAUGACGUCAAGUCAUCAUGGCCCUUACGGCCAGGGCUACACACGUGCUACAAUGGCGCAUACAAAGAGAAGCGACCUCGCGAGAGCAAGCGGACCUCACAAAGUGCGUCGUAGUCCGGAUUGGAGUCUGCAACUCGACUCCAUGAAGUCGGAAUCGCUAGUAAUCGUAGAUCAGAAUGCUACGGUGAAUACGUUCCCGGGCCUUGUACACACCGCCCGUCACACCAUGGGAGUGGGUUGCAAAAGAAGUAGGUAGCUUAACCUUCGGGAGGGCGCUUACCACUUUGUGAUUCAUGACUGGGGUGAAGUCGUAACAAGGUAGGCGUAGCGAG
rnacentral:rRNA from 1 species